rnacentral:rRNA from 1 species
ACAGGUAAUGCUGAGGACUCUAGCGAGACUGCCGGUGUCAAACCGGAGGAAGGCGGGGAUGACGUCAAGUCCUCAUGGCCCUUACAUCCAGGGUUGCACACGUGCUACAAUGGUGCGUACAAAGCGAUGCAAGACCGCGAGGUGGAGCAAAUCGCAAAAAACGCACCCCAGUUCGGAUUGCAGGCUGAAACCCGCCUGCAUGAAGCCGGAAUCGCUAGUAAUCGGGGAUCAGCUACGCCCCGGUGAAUGUGUUCCUGAGCCUUGUACACACCGCCCGUCAACUCAUGGGAGCCGGUAGCGCCCGAAGCCGCUGUAUUUCAGCAGCGUCUACGGCAAGAUCGGUGACUGGGAGUAAGUCGUAACAAGGUAGCCGUAGGAGAACCUGCGGCUGGAUCACCUCCUUU